GCGCCUUCUCCCUUUGUGUCUCCUCCCUCCUCCAGUCCUUACUGCGGCCCCAAAUCUUCCUCCUCGACGAGCUCAUCCUUCCGCCAUAACUCGACGACGCACCGGCAACCAUGCACUCGGUAGUAGAACAACCACUGCUGGAAAUUAUCGCAGGGCGUCAGUGAACUGCACAAAGACACCUUCUCGAGAAUCUUUGUAUAACAAGACUUCUCCGAUGACUACCACUAGGCUCUAGCCAUGAAAAUGUAACAGGAGUAACAGACUAACAGCCAAUAGAAGAAGAAGACGAUGGAAGAAUAAGCAACAGAAUGCAGUCCCCCACCCAAGCUUCAUAGAAUUUGUAUGCAUAUCCUUGGGUGGCGUCAAGGAUGAGGCUGAUAUAAUAGGGAACAGGAGGACAUAUGUUGGAAGCAUGCCAGGCCAUCUUAUUGAUGGAAUAAAGAGGAGGUGUCUCCAAUCCAGUCAUGCUGCUAGACCAGAUUGACAAAAUAGGUUCUGAUGUUCGGGCUUGAUCCUGAACAGACCAAGACCUUCAAUGACCACUACCUAAAUACACCAUUUGACCUUUCAAAGGUCACAUUUGUGGAAACUGCAAAUAAGAUUCGACCAUUCCCCCUGCACUCUUGGACAGAAUGGAAGUCAUUGAAUUGCCUGGGUACACACCUGAAGAAAAGCUGAAAAUAGUCAUGCUGCACUUAAUUCCAAGAGUUCUUGAUCAGAAUGGUUUAAGUUCUGAUUUGCUUCAAAUUCCUGAGGUACUACAGUCAUUACUUGUUAUCAAUCAUCAUAGUAUCAGAAUUGUAAAAUGUUUGCACAUUGCUUCCACAAGUAUCAAGUGGUCAAUUACUCAAUUUUUAGUUUUUAUUAUGUUGAGCUUGUUGUUUACUUGUACGGAUGUCGCGGAAAGCCAAACACUUUCACAUACAGAGAAUAUGUAAAUUAAUCAUAGCAGUUACAUGUAUGAGGUUAUAAUGAGUAAUAUGGGGAUUUUAGAGGUGGU